rnacentral:rRNA from 1 species
UACGUAGGGGGCAAGCGUUGUCCGGAUUUAUUGGGCGUAAAGAGCGUGUAGGCGGUUAGGUAGGUCCGUUGUGAAAACUCGAGGCUCAACCUCGAGACGCCGAUGGAAACCAUCUGACUAGAGUCCGGAAGAGGAGAGUGGAAUUCCGUGGUGUAGCGGUGAAAUGCGCAGAUAUCAGGAAGAACACCCGUGGCUAAGGCGGCUCUCUAGUACGGCACUGACGCUGAGACGCGAAAGCGUGGGGAGCGAACAGG